UACGUAGGGUGCAAGCGUUGUCCGGAAUUAUUGGGCGUAAAGAGCUCGUAGGCGGUCUGUCGCGUCUGCUGUGAAAACUCAGGGCUUAACCCUGAGCUUGCAGUGGGUACGGGCAGACUAGAGUGCGGUAGGGGAGACUGGAAUUCCCGGUGUAGCGGUGAAAUGCGCAGAUAUCGGGAGGAACACCAAUUGCGAAGGCGGCUCUCUGGGACGGUACUGACGCUGAGACGCGAAAGCGUGGGGAGCGAACAGG
rnacentral:rRNA from 1 species